rnacentral:rRNA from 1 species
CCUACGGGUGGCAGCAGUGAGGAAUAUUGGUCAAUGGACGAGAGUCUGAACCAGCCAAGUAGCGUGAAGGAUGACUGCCCUAUGGGUUGUAAACUUCUUUUAUAUGGGAAUAAAGUGUUCCACGUGUGGGAUUUUGUAUGUACCAUAUGAAUAAGGAUCGGCUAACUCCGUGCCAGCAGCCGCGGUAAUACGGAGGAUCCGAGCGUUAUCCGGAUUUAUUGGGUUUAAAGGGAGCGUAGGUGGAUUGUUAAGUCAGUUGUGAAAGUUUGCGGCUCAACCGUAAAAUUGCAGUUGAAACUGGCAGUCUUGAGUACAGUAGAGGUGGGCGGAAUUCGUGGUGUAGCGGUGAAAUGCUUAGAUAUCACGAAGAACUCCGAUUGCGAAGGCAGUUCACUGGACUGUAACUGACACUGAGGCUCGAAAGUGUGGGUAUCAAACAGGAUUAGAUACCCGGGUAGUC